rnacentral:rRNA from 1 species
UACAGAGGGGGCAAGCGUUAUUCGGAAUUAUUGGGCGUAAAGGGCGCGUAGGCGGCUUGGCAAGUGGAUGGUGAAAUCCCUCGGCUUAACCGAGGAACUGCCGUCCAAACUGCUUCGCUUGAGACCGGGAGAGGUGAGUGGAAUUCCCAGUGUAGCGGUGAAAUGCGUAGAUAUUGGGAGGAACACCAGUGGCGAAGGCGGCUCACUGGACCGGUACUGACGCUGAGGCGCGAAAGCGUGGGGAGCAAACGGG